UACGGAGGGGGCUAGCGUUGUCCGGAAUUACUGGGCGUAAAGAGCUCGUAGGUGGUUUGUCGCGUUGUUCGUGAAAACUCACAGCUCAACUGUGGGCGUGCGGGCGAUACGGGCAGACUUGAGUACUGCAGGGGAGACUGGAAUUCCUGGUGUAGCGGUGGAAUGCGCAGAUAUCAGGAGGAACACCGGUGGCGAAGGCGGGUCUCUGGACAGUUCCUGACGCUGAGGCACGAAGGCCAGGGGAGCAAACGGG
rnacentral:rRNA from 1 species